AUGAACGAAAGGCUUACUGCUGUAUACACGAAUGAAGAAGUUAAAGAGGCCUUUUUCAACAUCGGAGAUAUCAAGGCACCCGGGCCUGAUGGCAUGUCUGCUGUUUUCUACAAAAGAUUCUGGCGCCUAGUCGGUGAUAAAGUUACUGAAGAGGUUCUAAAUGUCCUUGAAGGAGGCCAAAUGCCUGAAGGAUGUAAUGACACCAUGGUCGUGUUAAUUCCUAAAAAUGCAAAUCCAGAAAGCCUAAAGGAUUUAAGACCCAUCAGCCUCUGCAACGUCAUCUACAAGGUGAUAUCCAAAGUAAUUGCUAAUAGACUGAAAUGUAUUUUGCCUCAUAUCAUUUCACCCAAUCAAAGUGCAUUUGUACCAGGUCAUAUUAUUUCAGAUAAUAUUCUUCUGGCCUAUGAACUAACACAUUUUUACAGAGGAAGAGAAGCGGUAGGAAGGGGUAUGCAGCAAUAA
rnacentral:rRNA from 1 species